UCCGAAACAAAAGAUCCUACAAGAGUACAACCUCAUUUGAAGAAAUGCUUUGAGGGUAUUGCUACAUUAAAAUUCACCGAAGAAUUGGAGGUUACAGUAAUGCGUUCCUCAGAACGUGAAGAGGUGGAAUUGGUGGAUAUUAUAUCCACCGCUAAAGCUAGAGGUCAAGUGGAGAAAUGGUUGCU
rnacentral:lncRNA from 1 species